rnacentral:pre_miRNA from 1 species
CUACUACUCCCUCCGUUCAGAAUUACUCGUCCAAGAAAUGAAUGUAUCUACAUGUAUUUUAGUUAUAGAUACAUCCAUUUUUGUGACAAGUAAUUCCGAACGGAGGGAGUAGAUC